rnacentral:rRNA from 1 species
UACGUAGGGUGCAAGCGUUAAUCGGGAUUACUGGGCGUAAAGCGUGCGCAGGCGGUUCGGAAAGAAAGAUGUGAAAUCCCAGGGCUUAACCUUGGAACUGCAUUUUUAACUGCCGGGCUAGAGUAUGUCAGAGGGGGGUAGAAUUCCACGUGUAGCAGUGAAAUGCGUAGAGAUGUGGAGGAACACCGAUGGCGAAGGCAGCCCCCUGGGUUAACACUGACGCUCAGGCACGAAAGCGUGGGGAGCAAACAGG